rnacentral:misc_RNA from 1 species
GAUGAAGAACGUAGCGAAAUGCGAUACGUAGUGUGAAUUGCAGAAUUCAGUGAAUCAUCGAAUCUUUGAACGCACAUUGCACCUCGCGGUAUUCCGGGAGGUAUGCCUGUUCGAGCGUCAUUUGUACCCUCAAGCUCUGCUUGGUGUUGGGUGUUUGUUCCGCCUCUGUGUGUGAACUCGCCUCAAAACAAUUGGCAGCCGGCGUACUUGUUUCGGAGCGCAGCACAUUUUGCGAUCCAGAUCAACGUACAGCGGCAUCCAAGAAGCCUUAUUUAACGCUCUUGACCUCGGAUCAGGUAGGGAUACCCGCUGAACUUAAGCAUAUCAAUAAGCGGAGGA